rnacentral:rRNA from 1 species
AGGACGAACGCUGGCGGCGUGCUUAACACAUGCAAGUCGAGCGCCCCACAAGGGGAGCGGCAGACGGGAGAGUAACACGUGGGAACGUACCCUUUGGUUCGGAACAACACAGGGAAACUUGUGCUAAUACCGGAUAAAGCCCUUACGGGGAAAGAUUUAUUGCCAAAGGAUCGGCCCGCGUCUGAUUAGCUUGUUGGUGAGGUAACGGCUCACCAAGGCUACGAUCAGUAGCUGGUCUGAGAGGAUGAUCAGCCUCACUGGGACUGAGACACGGCCCAGACUCCUACGGGAGGCAGCAGUGGGGAAUAUUGGACAAUGGGCGCAAGCCUGAUCCAGCCAUGCCGCGUGGAUGAUGAAGGCCCUAGGGUUGUAAAGCUCUUUGUGCGGGAAGAUAAUGACGGUACCGCAAGAAUAAGCCCGGCUAACUUCGUGCCAGCAGCCGC